UGAUAGGUUCAAAUGUUGACCAGGACAACGAUUACCAACUGCAUGAAAUAUGGAAAAGAAAACUUGAAGAUUUCGAGAACAGCAAUGCCAAAAGAACCAAAAGAACAGAUAUGAAUGAUCAGGCUAAAGCAAGCAAAGCUGAUGAUAAUAAGAAGAAAAGAGAAAAAUUGAAACA